UACGUAGGGGGCAAGCGUUGUCCGGAUUUAUUGGGCGUAAAGCGCGUGUAGGCGGCCACACAGGUCCGCUGUGAAAACUCGAGGCUCAACCUCGAGACGUCGACGGAAACCGUCUGGCUAGAGUCCGGAAGAGGAGUGUGGAAUUCCAGGUGUAGCGGUGAAAUGCGUAGAUAUCUGGAGGAACACCGGUGGCGAAGGCGGCGUCCUGGACCAAUACUGACACUGAAACGCGAAAGCCAGGGGAGCAAACGGG
rnacentral:rRNA from 1 species